UGAGUUUCCAUGGGGGAGGCAUGUGAUGUGGAGGAUUGUGAAGGUGUUUGUGGGAUGGGUGUAGCUGAUGAUUUCUUAGUGUUUGUGUUUUGUUGUUGUGCUUGCUUGUGGGGGAGUGUUGUUACCAUAUGGGCCAGUAAUGGCCAGGUGUAUUAUGUACACAUGACACAUUAAUAAACUAUAUUAUUAUUAUUAUUAUUAUUGUUCUUUCACCACACUUACGCUUCUCCAAAUUUAGAAAGAAGCUGUGUACACAGUGUUCUUGCGAGUUACAAUUACGCGUCCGGUUUGGCGGCAACUUCAAAGAGUGGACAUAUGGUUGCUCCUUCAGGUAGCUAUAAUUACCCUCUCUAUAAUGCAAUAUCGUAUUAUCCAUUUGUAAUGAAUGAUAGUAACACUUAAUCGGAUUGGAUUCAGUUAAAUCUACAUUUCUCAAGGUCUCUAACAUCGAGAUUUGAAAUAUCUUCAUGUAAAUACCUUCUUUGUCAUGUGACUUGUAUAUAUUCGUGUAUAUUCAGAAUCGUACCUUCGCACAAUGUCUUUGCACAAUGGCACAAGCAACGUGGUCUCUUUCUGUAAAAAAUAGCACUCUUUAUUUCAGCCACAGCAAAGAUCCCGAACCAGAUGCAGUCAGCAGAGUUACAGCGUCUGGUUACCGUCUUGCAGUUACGAUACAGAAUAUGUGCACAUAGCUUUCAAUGACCAGACGAAAAAAAAGAAUUCAUUUCAAGUAUGUUGAGAAGAAAACGACCCAUCUCUGAAAAAAAUUCACCUCACCCAAGAAAUGAGAAUGAAAAGUGCAGAGUCUCCCAAGGAAUUGUCUUGUAAUAAAGCAUGUGAAUAAAUAAUUUUUUGAAAUAUCUCACGAAAUUAGUUUUAUUUUUUUGCUUGAAAUCAUGUGAACUAAAAAUGUUUGUUUUGAGGAAAAAGGUCAUUUAAAGCAACUCCAGGUUAAACUAUCCAAUGAUUGAAUCUUAUUUCUCCUGAAUUAAAAUAAUUCUGCUAAAUAUUACUGCAGAAAAUAAUUCUGCCAGAAAUUUCUGUAGAAAAAAAAAAAUUCUGCCAGAAAUUUCUGUAGAAAAAAAAAAUACUGCCAGAAAUUUCUGCAGAAAAAAAAAAUUCGGCCAGAAAUUUCUGCAGUAAUGCAUUUUCUGAGCCAAUUUUUGAGCUUAUGAACAUGUGAACACACUGGGACACACAUUAUUUGGAUUCGUCUCCUCGAGAGCUUUCCAGUGAUAUAAAACAUGUAUUUGUAGCUCGCUUCCUUCUGUGUGGUCAAGUUCGGACUCCUGGCCAUUCCUUAG